GCGAACAGGUGAUUGUGUGAAUAAGUCUAUUGUAGCAUCAUCGGAGGGAUACGGCGUGCUAUGUUGUUAGCAGUAUGGGGGAUGGAGUACGUGUAGUGAAGACAGGUUGAGCGUCAGAGAUGUGCCCACCACAAGAAAUGGACACCUAAUGGUGUCGUGUUCCCUUUUUUCUCUUUCAUGUUCAGGAUCGCAUGACGCAAACGCACAGAACAUAGUGUCUGUGUUUUGAUGUCCAGAAAAUUGACGUAUCGAGCUUCUGGAUAGAUGGCCGAAUCAAGCUGAAGACACUGGUUCAGGAUUGUAUGACACAAGUGUUCGACAAAGGAAAAAAAACGUACAGAACCUGAUAGGGACUAAAUCCAGGAAGCAAGUUAUUACCUAGUGGGUGAACUUGGCAUGACCACCGAAGAUAAUGCGACAAUCCAUUCCGAUUGGGUAUAUGUUUGCGAAGAAUAGAGACAUUCGAAGACAACGCAUCGGUCUACACUUUCCAUCUUGGAGUUAUCGGAGCAUUAUGGUUGGAGAAUUUCAUUACGUAAUAGUUAGAUUGCUUUAUUUUGUUGCCAACUUAUUUUUUUCCAUAAAGUAUGCACUGUAAGAUGUACACACAUUGUGCGAUAUAAUGUUAUUAUCAAGAGUCUUUUGUGAUCUGGCAAAAGUAAAGAAACUCACUUUUAAAAUGUAAAGGCACGAUGGACCAUGAAAACAGUUUAAUUUCAUUUUUGUUUGAAUAGAGUUUUCAAGACUUUCUACUACCAUUAGCAGUUUCCAAAACAAUUUCGUGUGCACCCGAGGUUUAUGGUCAUCGGGCUCGGUCAGAUUGGUGCUUGGUUGCUGUGGUGUCGGACUCAAGAGAUGCGGAGUUUUGUGAAAGGAGGGCUCUACUCGUUUGCCUCCAUCAGCCAACCACAAGACGGCACUGACUUCAUUCCAGUUAUCAAUGAGCAUAUUCCCAAUAGCAAAACAAUCAGACUAAUGCUGGACUUAGAAAAUGAGCAGUGCUAUUUUAUAGUUUGUGUUAAAGAACCCAUUGACAGGUAGUUGGUUUUCCCGAUAUAUUUCGAUUUACAAACAUCUAGAGGAAUGUACUAGGAGUAAUAGGUAUAAGCGAUUUUAGAUGGGAACAAUGAAACUUGGACGAAAUUGAAGCAUGCGUAACUAUUUCUUAGUAUCAGAAAUCGAAGGAUGAAUGUUACAUUUGACAUAGGCAACAAUCCUCAAAAGUUCAUUCACCCUAACACAACCACUUAAUACUAACACCAACACUGACUGCCAUUACUUAUUACUCCACCAUCCACCAAGGACACAGUGCUAAAUUAUUGCCUAAUGCAAAUGAAACAUUCAUAUUCAGAAAUUCUUUAGUAGAUGAGUAAAAGCAUUAACUGCAAGACUACAUCCUCUGAGUUUCAGUGUUCCCCCCAUUUCAAUGUAGUGUUACACUGAAAGUACACUGUAUGCCUACUUUGUAUUAUCGUAUAAGCUUGGAAAUGUAUUUAUGCCAAAGAAUAAAAUGUCAAGUAAUGUACCACAGCUUGCAUUGAGAUCUACAUGUAUACCUGGCUUCUUCAGGUGACGUAUAUUCCCGUUCUCAUAUUCUUGUUGCAGCUGAUGGUUAUUUAAAUAUAUCCAUGUAUGGGCGUCGCCAUUUUGUCGGGGAUUUUUUGGGGGAGCAUUCAUCAGCAUCGAACUGAUAAACGAUAAACAUUGGAAUGCGGCUAUUUUAAGGGGUUUUAUUUUAAAUACAUUUUGGUGAUUUUC
rnacentral:lncRNA from 1 species